CCUACGUGAGGCAGCAGUGAGGAAUAUUGGUCAAUGGACGAGAGUCUGAACCAGCCAAGUAGCGUGAAGGAUGACUGCCCUAUGGGUUGUAAACUUCUUUUAUAUGGGAAUAAAAUGUUCCACGUGUGGGAUUUUGUAUGUACCAUAUGAAUAAGGAUCGGCUAACUCCGUGCCAGCAGCCGCGGUAAUACGGAGGAUCCGCGCGUUUUCCGGAUUUAUGGGGUUUAAAGGGAGCGUAGGUGGAUUGUUAAGUCAGUUGUGAAAGUUUGCGGGUCAACCGUAAAAUUGCAGUUGAAACUGGCAGUCUUGAGUACAGUAGAGGUGGGCGGAAUGCGUGGUGUAGCGGUGAAAUGCUUAGAUAUCACGAAGAACUCCGAUUGCGAAGGCAGCUCACUGGACUGCAACUGACACUGAGGCUCGAAAGUGUGGGUAUCAAACAGGAUUAGAUACCCCAGUAGUC
rnacentral:rRNA from 1 species